rnacentral:lncRNA from 1 species
UAACAGCUUCAUUGAGAUUUAAUUCAUAUACCAUAACAUUUACCUGUUUAAAAUGUACAGCUCAGUGGUUUUAGUGUAUUCACAGACUUGUGCAACCAUCACUAUACCAAUUUUAGAAAGCUUUAAUCACCCUGCAAAGAAAUCCCAUUGAGGGGGGAAGCACUACCCAUUCCUGCCCUCUACCCCCAUCCCAAGCCCCUGGCAACCACUAAGUGCCUCCUCCAAGCAGUUCAUAUAAAUAGAACCGUACAGUACAUGGGCUUCUGUGACUGGUUUCUUUCACUGAACAUGCUAUUGAGAAUGAGCCACGGUGUGGUAUGCAUCAGUUCUUUGCUCCUUUUGACGGCUGGGCAAUAUCCCCUUGUAUGGAUGGACACGCCACAUGUUUUGAUCCAUUCGUCAGUGGAUGAACAUGUGGGUUGUUUCUACUUUUUCUGGCUAUCACUUUCAGUGCUGUCUGGAUAUAGACCAAUGAGGGUCACAGGAGAACAAGUAGAGGGUGAUUUUUAAACGUGAGUAAAUGAUGCACACAGAGGUGCGUUUUAGGCCAAUGAUGGUGCAUAGUUCACAGUGUGCCCACUGCCAGGCCCAUAUCCUCUUCUGUGUUCUCAAAUCCCUUUUCUAUGGAGAUUAUUCCUUCCCUUCUCAGUUAACUUCCUUAGAUUCCUUAGAUAGUUAACUUCCUUCCUUAGAUAGGCAUCAACAGUGUGCUGUGGGCGAACUCCGCCUUCUGAAAGCUCUGUAACUGGGGCUCUAAACAUCUCGGGUGCAGAGAAGGAUGAGCCUGUUGAGUGUGCAGGAUCCUUUACUCAGCCUUGAGCUUCUGUUCGCUGGCGUUUUACAGUCACUUCAGGCUGGAAGCAAUGCUGUGUGCAGUACUCCAAGUUCACCUGUAUGUGAACAUGGGACACUGAGGAAAAGCGUCUCAACAGCCUGACUUCCUCAGAUAUAUACAACCUCCCCUCCCACUCCACACAAACUUGUUUUUACUCUCCUUGCAGUGAGGGCAACAUGUCAAUCUCUUUUCAAACCCCACAUGGAAAGCCUGGCUACAGUUUUGGUAAUAAUGAGGUACUUUCUCCUCAUUUAUGUUAGCACUCUCACCUACUUAGCCGCAAAAACUCUCAGUAUAACCUUGCCUGAAGAAGUCGCUAAGGAUGCUGGCAUUAUUUGUAAAUCAGUUGCAAAUGGUACUCAGAUAUGAAGUUCUUAUGGGGUCUUCUUUAAAGCUUUGUAUUAUUCUAUGUGGAUAUAAACAGAUAAUUAUUUAUUUUAAAAAUACUCUGUGGGCUGUAAAGGUAAAUGCAUAAAUAAG